rnacentral:rRNA from 1 species
UACGUAGGGUCCAAGCGUUAAUCGGAAUUACUGGGCGUAAAGCGUGCGCAGGCGGUUGUGUAAGUCAGAUGUGAAAUCCCCGGGCUCAACCUGGGAAUUGCAUUUGAGACUGCACGGCUAGAGUGUGUCAGAGGGGGGUAGAAUUCCACGUGUAGCAGUGAAAUGCGUAGAGAUGUGGAGGAACACCGAUGGCGAAGGCAGCCCCCUGGGAUAACACUGACGCUCAUGCACGAAAGCGUGGGGAGCAAACAGG